AAGGGCUGUAGCUCAGAGGCAGAGUAUCUGUUUUUCAUGCAGAAGGUCCUAGGUUCAAUCCCUGGCACCUUGG